rnacentral:tRNA from 1 species
CGGGGCGUGGCGCAGUCUGGUAGCGCACAUGCUCGGGGUGCAUGUGGUCGGAGGUUCAAAUCCUCUCGCCCCGACCA